UAACUGACAGCUAGUCAUCCGGCACAAGCCACUGUGUGUUUCUGCAUCUCUGCCAUCUGCCAUGGUUGCCCUCUUCCCUGCCUACUCGUGAUAGAAGAAUUGUCUUUCUCCAUCCUGCUAAGCUUCCUGGACAACUGAUCCCCCUUCUGCCACUGCUGGACCAGUGUCACAAGGCUGCCGAGAAGACAUGACCAGGAGGGGAUGGGUGUAAGCGCUGACCUCCCUGCAGCAUCCACAUCACCCACUGACGCUUCGGCGUAGCUCCUCACUCAGAAAUCUCUCUUGAUUCUAAUAAAGAAACCAAAACAAAGUGAGGUUUGAAGAAACUGUGAUCUGUCUUAUGGAUGCUAUUCAUACUUUGGUUUAACAAUCCAGCACAGAAGAGAGCAGCAUGACUCGAGCCAAGGAGAAGAGUAGAGGGAGUGAAUAACGACAGCACAAAUCAGCAGUAAAGAAGCAGUCUGCUGCAGCACCUGUACAGAAAGCCCGAGGCCAGCGAGGAAAGUGGCAGAAAGAUUGCACUGGGAAAUGGCAUGGGGAGCACCAUAUGCACCGAGCACCGAAAGGCUGACAGCAGCAUUUUAAGCUAUCCUAAAGAUGGGGGAAAUGUCUCUGUCCUUGAGUAAGGGCAAAGAGAGAGAGGAAAUUUUGAAGAUGGACAGUUUAAGACCAUACUUUUCACGUUAGGCAAGUGCAGCUCUGCUUUUUAUUUAAAAUACGGUGUGUUGAUGCUAAUGAGGCUCUGUGGCUGUCCACAGGGAUGCGGUGUGCAGGUAGGAAUCUAGCACGGCUGUUGGGUAUUUCUUUAGAUGAGAAAUAGGUACUGAUAUGGUUGCAUGAAGUUUACAAUAAAAAGCAAUGCAUUAGUCAAUCCAGCAAAUUAACCACUUUGAAUGCAAAUUAGGGAUAGCUUCUGUUUUGCUUUGUUGGCUGUGUUCUUGUUUUAGGUAGGGUUUGGUGCAGAAAUUGUAUAAAGCAGGAAUAUAGUUGAAUAAAAUUCUCAAAAUAGCCUCUGCUACUACUAUUAGGAUGUUUAAAAUCUAUGUAAUGCUAGAUUGUUCUACUAAAUGUAUUUUCUUCCUAAUUUUGAAUUUCCCUAAUCUGCUGAAUCUGUUCCACUUGGGAUAAAGUAGAAAAAAAUGUAUUGUGUGAAAUCAAAACAGGUCGUUAAAGUCAUCCCACGGGAUGCGGGGUUACAGUCUCUUAACCAAAGCAGGCAGAGAAUACACUAUUGUCUUUUCUGUGGGGUUUUUUUCCCCUACUUUUUGUUUUAAAUGAAUACUACUGGAAGAUGAAGGAUGGGCAACUUACUUGACUUGCUGUGGUACCUAAGUCAGGGAGAGAAUUCAUGGCAGAGGGUCCCGGAGAUGUUGGACGGAUAACCUCCUGGUCAGAGAUGGCAGCUUCCCAGGAUUUUGGGCUGGAUGAACUUUCUUCCUCCUUCAGGUCUCUUCCUUUAACGAGAACAUAAAAUGAGGUCUCUUGAAUGACCUCAGUGUUUGGUUUCUGGUUUUGCUUGCUCAAUAUAUUAUGCUGUGAGCUUAGAGCCGACAGUCAGCGUGAGUUUGCUGUUGACAUCCGUGGGGGUGGGAAGCAGCCCGGCACCCCUGACGUUGAGGGAUUGGCAUCCCGGGGCCGGGCAGGAUGUGAGGGCUCGGCUGGAAGAGCUCUACCAGAGUCCCACAGCUUUACAAUCCACGUCCUGCUGGCUGCAAGAUGUUAUUUGCAUACAUCUCCUUUUCUCCUUACCUAAAUGUGAACGCAUGCAGAUCAAUCAACGGAGCCUGAAAACCUUCCUGGUUCUUUUAUGAACAUUCUGCUUCAUUAUUCCUUUCAUGUGUUUUGCACAGAACAAGCCAACGCCAAGAAAGUAACUUAUUGUGGAUGAUCAGAAACACCUUUUUUUUCCAAACACCUUGGUUUUUCAAAAGGCAGUACCCAUAAAUUGAAGGCUGUCUGUACACAGCGUUGCCAUUUUCCAUAUAUAACCAAGGUGUCGUGCAGCUCAUUAUUUCAUCAUGUUUAGGAAAAAAAAUCAGUGUCAACAACCAAGGCUUCUGACUGUCAUUGCUUUUAUUAAAAGCAAAAACGUUUGAUCUUUUGAAGAAUGAAAAAAAUCAGCUCCUGUAUUUUUUAAAGCACUUUGCACUUGGUCUUAUCUAAAAGCAUCAAAAAGUGAAAAAUCUAAUGUGACAUUAUACAUUCUAGUGGCCCCUAAUAGCCAGUCACUCUACCAAUUUUUCUAAGUUUAUCUUUAAUCUACUACUCCCAAACUAAUUAAGGACUGAAUGCCUUUGGACUGAUUUUCAUUUUGUCUUGAGUUAUUGUGACAUCUUUACUACAGAUUCUUUUUCAGUCUAAUUAAAUUCCUGCAGCAUAAAUGUCAUUAUUAAUAUCAUCACCUUUGGUAGACUAACUUUGCCUUGGUCUCCUGAUGACUGUGCAUUGUAGACUAACUCCCUUUCUUCCUGGUUAAUAUUUGAAAAGUUUGGCUUGAAGUAAGAACAUCUCGAGGCUUAGCAGAGACAGAGAAUCCAUUAAUAUAAACAUAGUAAUUCAAAUUGAUGGGGUUUUAUUAAAAAAAAUCCAAUAGUUAUGCUAUUGUAUUAGUUUUCAGAAGAAUAUUCCAAAACUCAUUUAAAACUUUUCUUUUUAUCUUCAAAAAUCAUUCCUGGAUGCUAAGAAUUCUAAUAAUUUGAGGAUUAGAAGUAAUUCUCGCUUGUAAGGCAAAAAUUUCCAAUGAAAGCAUUAAUGCAGGUGGAAGGGAAACUCACUAAAAGAAUGUGUGUGGGGCAGCAGAGGACUGCCAAAAAACGAAUAUUCGUUUCCUCAACCCAAAAGAAGCUUUUCUGUGGGCUCUCUGCAGGGGACAGGACACCAUCCAGGAAUGGUGGGAGCUCACCAGUCGGUGAGUCCUUUUUUCCUUAGCAGGUAAAUAUAAAAAAGAACUACCAUGAAAAAAAGAAUUUGUGUGAGAAUUUCAUCCUCUCUCCAUUAGUUGGGCUAACAUUAUCGGUGUGGUUUAACCCGGCCAGCAGCUAAAACAACCACACAGCCCUUCGCUCGCUGCCGCCCACCCCCCGCAGUGGGAUGGGGGAGGGAAUAGGAAAAAAAUGGUAAAACUUGUGGGCUGAGAUAAAGAUGGCGUCAUAGGACAGAAAAGGAAGGGGGAAACAUAAAAUAACAAUAAUAGAAUAUACAAAACAAGCGAUGCACUAUGCAGUUGCUCACCACCCGCUGACCAAUGCCCAGCCCGUUCCCGAGCAGCGGCUGCUGCCCCCACUGCCCACUCCCCCCCACGUGGUUUUUUUGUUCAGCAUGACGUCAUACGGUACAGAACAUCCCUGUGGGCAGUUGGGUCAGCUGCCCUGGCCGUGUUCCCUCCCGGCUUCUUGUGCCCCCCACCUCCUCGCUGGCAGGGCAGGGUGAGAGGCUGCAAAGUCCUUGACUGCUUGGCAACAACUAAAGCACCCGUGUGUUAUCAAUGUUAUUCUCACCCUAAAUCCAAA